rnacentral:rRNA from 1 species
GACGAACGCUGGCGGCGUGCUUAACACAUGCAAGUCGAACGGUAAGGCCCUUCGGGGUACACGAGUGGCGAACGGGUGAGUAACACGUGGGUGAUCUGCCCUGCACUUCGGGAUAAGCCUGGGAAACUGGGUCUAAUACCGGAUAGGACUCCUGGCUUCAUGGUUGGGGGUGGAAAGCUUUUGCGGUGUGGGAUGGGCCCGCGGCCUAUCAGCUUGUUGGUGGGGUAAUGGCCUACCAAGGCGACGACGGGUAGCCGGCCGGAGAGGGUGACCGGUCACACUGGGACUGAGAUACGGCCCAGACUCCUACGGGAGGCAGCAGUGGGGAAUAUUGCACAAUGGGCGCAAGCCUGAUGCAGCGACGCGGCGUGAGGGAUGACGGCCUUCGGGUUGUAAACCUCAUUCGGCUAUGACGAAGCGCAAGUGACGGUAGUAGCAGAAGAAGGACCGGCCAACUACGUGCCAGCAGCCGCCGUAA